UACGGGGGGAGCAAGCGUUGUUCGGAUUUACUGGGCGUAAAGGGCGCGUAGGCGGCCUCUGCAAGUCGACUGUGAAAUCUCCGGGCUUAACCCGGAACGGUCAGCCGAUACUGCAGGGCUAGAGUGCAGAAGGGGCAACUGGAAUUCUCGGUGUAGCGGUGAAAUGCGUAGAUAUCUGGAGGAACACCGGUGGCGAAGGCGGCAUCCUGGACCAUGACUGACGCUGAGGAGCGAAAGCCAGGGGAGCAAACGGG
rnacentral:rRNA from 1 species